rnacentral:rRNA from 1 species
CCUACGGGGGGCAGCAGUGGGGAAUAUUGCACAAUGGGGGAAACCCUGAUGCAGCGACGCCGCGUGGGUGACGAAGUAUUUCGGUAUGUAAAGCCCUAUCAGCAGGGAAGAAGAUGACAGUACCUGACCAAGAAGCCCCGGCUAACUACGUGCCAGCAGCCGCGGUAAUACGUAGGGGGCAAGCGUUAUCCGGAUUUACUGGGUGUAAAGGGAGCGUAGGUGGCAUGGCAAGCCAGAAGUGAAAACCCGGGGCUUAACCCCGCGGAUUGCUUUUGGAACUGUCAGGCUGGAGUGCAGGAGGGGCAGGCGGAAUUCCUGGUGUAGCGGUGAAAUGCGUAGAUAUCAGGAGGAACACCGGUGGCGAAGGCGGCCUGCUGGACUGUAACUGACACUGAGGCUCGAAAGCGUGGGGAGCAAACAGGAUUAGAUACCCCGGUAGUC